GGGCCCGUAGCUUAGUUGGUAGAGCGCCGCAUUUGCAAUGCGGAGGUCAGGAGUUCGAAUCUCCUCGGGUCCA
rnacentral:tRNA from 1 species